rnacentral:sRNA from 1 species
GGGAAACUGAGUCACAAAGAGUCCAAGUCGACAGGAAAGUGGAUGUCUUGGCCCCAGAGUGUCUUCGGCCCAGAAGAUGCCCGUCUCUUAGCCUCCUGCUUGCCCCAAAAGGCUGGAUGUGGGCACCACUUGGCGGGCAGACGGGUGGGUGCUCCAGGCAACUUAGACAUCUUCUCAGGAGGGAGAGGGGAACUGGGACCAAGCGCCGUCUUUUCGGUGGGAUUCUCUCCCUGUGGCUGUGACUUGCUUUGACAAGCAGAGUGGAAAUUUUUCGGUUACUCAUCAGUGGAAUAAAGUGUGUAAAGCCACUUGGGGUAAGGCUGAAAUAAUCUUAUUGCACUGUUUCAGACGGAUGUAAUGCACCAGAACAUUUACGACUACAUCCACGUGGACGACCGCCAGGACUUCUGCCGGCAGCUCCACUGGGCCAUGGACCCUCCCCAGGUGGUGUUUGGGCAGCCCCCGCCCUUGGAGACAGGAGAUGACGCUAUCCUGGGGAGGCUGCUCAGGGCCCAGGAGUGGGGCGCAGGCGCACCCACCGAGUACUCGGCCUUCCUGACCCGCU